UGCAUUACCACCGACCAGUCCUCAGCCGGCAACAUGAAGCUGGGUGGCCUCUGCCUCCUGCUCCUCCUCGCCGUCCUUCUCACCCUCAAUGCAGAGUUCCAAGCAGUUGAUGUAGGUAUCUGUGUGACGGAGUGCAAGGUAGACCAGGACUGUGGGGCAGGAAGACGAUGCACCAGCAAUGGAUGUGGCCGGGUCUGCUCCCCAGUCCGGCGAAGAGAGGCCUGCGAGCACCAGUGCAGAGAAGACAGGGACUGUGGGAGUGGACAUCCGUGCGUGAGGAAGGGCUGUGGGCACGUCUGCGCCCCCGUCCAUCAAGUCGAUGUAGGGAUCUGUGUGACGGAGUGCAAGGUAGACCAGGACUGUGGGGCAGGAAGACGAUGCACCAGCAAUGGAUGUGGCCGGGUCUGCUCCCCAAUCCAGCGAAGAGAGGCCUGCGAGCACCAGUGCAGAGAAGACAGGGACUGUGGGAGUGGACAUCAGUGCGUGAGGAAGGGCUGUGGGCACGUCUGCGCCCCCGUCCAUCAAGUCGAUGUAGGUAUCUGUGUGACGGAGUGCAAGGUAGACCAGGACUGUGGGGAAGGAAGACGAUGCACCAGCAAUGGAUGUGGCCGUGUCUGCUCCCCAGCCCAGCAAAGAGAGGCCUGCGAGCACCAAUGCAGAGAAGACAAGGACUGUGGGAGUGGACAUCAGUGCGUGAGGAAGGGCUGUGGGCACGUCUGCUCCCCCAUCCCUCAAGUAGGUGAGUCUGGACUUUCUGUAGAGUGAAAUGGACUUGAGCUUUCAAGGCAAAUGUCCUUGGAUUCAAAUCCCAACUCUGCUGUUGACCAGACAGCCCCUUCAUGUCCUCAAUCUAUGAAAUACAAAAUAAGAAAACUUAGCAGUUAAAGCCCAUUUGGGUUACCAUUAACCUGCUUUCUUUGCAG
rnacentral:lncRNA from 1 species